rnacentral:lncRNA from 1 species
AUAUUAAAUUUUAAAUUUAAAAGUGAAAUUUAAAUUAGAGGAAUUUCAUAUUACUAUUUAAAGUUUAAAUUCAAUGAUCAUAUUGUCAAAUCAUUUGAAAUUUUUCUUAUAUGAAAUGCCAAAUUAUGAAAGGAAAGAUAGAGAGAGAAAAAGGAAACAAAAAAAAAAAAAAAUUUGAAAAAUAUAAUAGAUGUAAAAUGACUAAAUUGCCUAUGUAUUAAAAGACAAAAAUAUUCUUUUUUGAGGUACCUGGUAACCGGUACCUCUUCCAAAGUGACCUGCUAUUGCAGGUCAUAAUUUUAAAAAAACUAAAUCUGAACCGUUAAAUACGCGUGAAUGAACGGUAACUAAAAAAAAAAAGUAUAGAAGCAUUACUCUAAAUUUAUAUAUACACUUUAAACCAUAUAGUACUAAAAUAAAAAAGUGCGAAAUCACAGGAGUGGUAUUUGAAGUUUUUCUUAAAAGAAUCUCAAGAUAACAACGCUCAGAAGAAGCGUCCCUAAGCGUGCUUACAAUAUAGCAAAUACUGACGCUUAAAAAAGCGACGUCCUAUGAAACCUCUAUUGUAUCAAAUAAAUUUAUUAAACAAUAAACUUUAUUAUUACGUUUUAGUUUUCCGACGCUUUAAAACGUCAGAAUAUAUUUUAUCGAUACUUGGCAUAAGCGUCGGUAUAUACGUGGCGACUCUUCAUUUGCAGACACUUUAACUAACGCUUUAGAUAUGACGGUAGACUAUAUUAGAACGUUUUUAAGUAUCGUUAAAUAUUAAAAAAAAAGUGUCCUUAAAUGUUAAUUUUUUUGUAAUGUCUGGAA